AAGUUAUUGCGGUCAAAUUGGAAAACAGGGGAAAACCCUCAGAAAGUCAAAGCCCACAAUUCGACCAACUACCAUUUUACCAUAAGAAGGAUCUUGACGAUUUCGAAGCACAGCUUUUACAAAAGCCAGAGUUGUUGGAGAAAUUUAAACUAUAUAUUAAGAAGACGGGGGGUGAAGCGUCAACCCCUUUUCUAAGAGCAGCAAUCAGGCGUAUUUUUUCAGAUGAGUUGGCAAUGUCUUUUUCGUGGAGGGGCACGGCAGAUAAGCCAAGCGCGGAAAAAUGUUUAGUUACAACAAUAAUAAAAAAUAUUUGUCAUGAAAUGUUUCAAGUGGACGAAAAAGCCGUUAGAUCAACGCUACAAAAACAUUUCGUUUAUGCAAACGAAAGAGUAAAAAAACGCCGUCUACCUUUGUCUGAAAAUAAAUGAAUGUUUUGAGCUGUAAGGAAAAACAUGUUAAUGAAUUAAUUUAAAAUAUAAAUAAAUUUGAAUUUAAAAAUAAACCAAAAAAUGAAUAUUGAUUAAUAAGAUGACUGAAAACUGAUUGGAAAAAACAAUCGAAAUUUAUAAUAAAAUGACUGUAAAUUGACUAAAUAUUGACUGAAAAUUUACUAGAAAUUCAUUGAGAAAUGACUGGAAAAAACAAUCGAAAUUUAUAAUAAAAUGACUGAAAAUUUACUAGAAAAUCAUUGAGAAAUGACUGGAAAAAACAAUCGAAAUUUAUAAUAAAAUGACUGGAAAUUGACCCUGAAAAUGACUCAAUCAAAAUCAUUCAAUUUUGUUCGACCAUUUUCUCCCGAGGGAACAGUCAAUUUACAAUGAAUAUUGAUAUAGAAAUUGACUGUUUUCUAUCAAUUUUUCUAUUGAAAAUGAGUGAUUUUCCAUUAAAAAUUGAUAGUAAAUGCUGGCUGGGAUAC